rnacentral:rRNA from 1 species
GAUGAACGCUGGCGGCGUGCUUAACACAUGCAAGUCGAACGGUGACGCAGUGCUUGCUCUGUGUUUCAGUUGCGAACGGGUGAGUAACACGUGAGCAACCUGCCCCCGACUCUUUGAUAAGCGCUGACAACGGCGUCUAAUCCUUGAUAUCAGCUGCGACCUCCUGGUCAGCGCUUGGAAAGUUUAUUCGUUCUGGGAUUGGCUCACGGCCUAUCAGCUUGUUUGUUGGGUAAUGGCACACCAAGGCGUCGCCGGGUACCCGGCCUGAGAUGGGGAACGGGCACAAGGGGACUGAGGGAGGGCGCAGAGGCCAACGGGGGGCAGCAGGGGGGAAUAUGACACAGUGAGCGAGAGCGGGAUGAAGAAACGCCGCGUGAGGGAUGACGGCCUUCGGGGAGAAAAACGCUUUUAGCAGGGAAGAAGCGAAAGUGACGGUACCUGAAGAAAAAGCGCCGGCUAACUACGUG